rnacentral:rRNA from 1 species
AUACGAAGGGUGCAAGCGUUAAUCGGAAUUACUGGGCGUAAAGCGCGCGUAGGUGGUUCGUUAAGUUGGAUGUGAAAGCCCCGGGCUCAACCUGGGAACUGCAUCCAAAACUGGCGAGCUAGGGUAUGGCAGAGGGUGGUGGAAUUUCCUGUGUAGCGGUGAAAUGCGUAGAUAUAGGAAGGAACACCAGUGGCGAAGGCGACCCCCGGGGCUAAUACUGACACUGAGGUGCGAAAGCGUGGGGAGCAAACAGGAUUAGAUACCCGGGUAGUCCACGCCGUAAACGAUGUCGACUAGCCGUUGGGAUCCUUGAGAUCUUAGUGGCGCAGCUAACGCAUUAAGUCGACCGCCUGGGGAGUACGGCCGCAAGGUUAAAACUCAAAUGAAUUGACGGGG